rnacentral:rRNA from 1 species
CACCGCCCGUCACACCAUGGGAGUUGAUUGCUCCAGAAGUGGCUGAGCCAACCCGCAAGGGAGGCAGGUCCCCAAGGAGUGAUUGGUAACUGGGGUG